AGAGGUAUAGCUUAGUGGUAGACUGUAUGCUUAGCAUGCAUAAGGUCCUGGAUUCAAUUCCCAGUAGCUCCA
rnacentral:tRNA from 1 species